rnacentral:misc_RNA from 1 species
CUUAGAUUAUAAAUAAAUUAAAUAGAAAUCAUAUUUUGACUUUUAUUUUUUGUGCACAUCUCCAACUCCAUUAUUAUUCAUAAAAUGUCAGAUCAAAUCAUGUGCCAAUUCUAUAUAUUAAUUAUAAUUUUCUCAUUCAUCAGUUCUAAAACUUUCCAUAUUGAGUAAAUAUAAUUUUUUUUAAUGUCGAUUAAGUCAUCUAAACAUUGGGUUUAUAUUUAGAACAAAAAGGAAAAAUUAAGAAAUGACACAAAAAUUUAUACACAUCUAUGCCCCCCAAUGGCAAAAUAUGGCAGGGAAUCGCUCAACACGUGGCACAAAUCCAUUGGUCUUUUUAAAAGUAAUUAAACGCCGUUGAUUUAGGCUUCGAGUGAUAAAACGUUGCCGUUCUUUGCCUUCGUAAACCGGGAAUCUCAGGGGGUGCCACCGUCCUUAUUAGGGCGAAAUUAAGCCCUUUAAAAAAUGGGUGGGUUUUUACGUCGGCAGAUCCCCGCUUCGACCCGAGUCUAGUGCUCGGAUCUCUAUUCAACAGCCCCGAUAUCAGGUCUCGCGCGUGGAGCUCAAGCGAUGAGCAUGGGGAAUGGGUUGGAAAACUCAAGGGCUUUUCCAAGAUGUUGCGCAGUGUCAUCUCAUUUGAUGGAGCUGCAAAUGGCGUGCGUCCAUAAAUGAGUUCGUAGAUAAAAAUCCCCAGGGCCCACCAGUCAACUCCGUUCCCAUGGGAGCCACCAGAGGCGACCUCCGGGGCCACAUACUCGUGGGUCCCAACGAACGAGCAAGACCGCGCGGCGACCGGCUCGGCGACAAAUAACCGGCAGGUGCUCGAAGUUUGGAUUCUCUUGGAUGGGAAGAGCCGGUUGAGGAGGCAUGACAAGGUCUUGUUAGGGUGUGAUCGGGUGUAGGGUAAGGCAGAUGGAGAAGUAGAAUCCGGAGAGAAGGAUGGAGAUUCAACUGCUGGGACUGCAUCUGAGCAUAAUGAGAGGUCAAAAUCUGAGAGCAUGAUGUGACCAUCGGAUCUGACUAAAACGUUUUCAGGCUUUAGGUCUCUGUAGAUGAUUCCUAGCAUGUGAAGGUAUUCUAAAGCUACAAGAACCUCCGCUGCAUAAAACCUUGCAGUGCUGAGAGAGAAGCGUUUGUGAGGCUGCUUAUGUCUCAAAGAAUGCAAGUCACCACCGGAACAGUACUCCAUUACAAUGCAAGAGAAAUGCGACACCUCAAACUCUGCGUACAAAGUGGGUAAAAAUGGAUGAUCUAGCAUUUUCAAGAUCUUCUUCUCCAUCUCCGCCCUAUGCAUUUUCUUUUUCACCGCCAACGCCUCCUGGUCCACCACCUUCAUCGCAUAAAAGCAUGACCGAUCCUCCUCCUCUUCCUCCUCAUCGUCAUCAUCAUCAUCAUCGUUUUCCUUGCCACAAUUCUUGUUAUGCUCUCUUGUAAGGUGGCAGAGGUAGACAGUACCGAUAUCGCCGGAGCCGAUGCGGCGGGUUAGGCGGAAGUCACGGAAGGUGAGACCGGACUUGCGGCGGAAAGUAGCGGAGCGGAUGGCGGAGUAGGCCAAGUCAGAGGAGCGGUGGGGCUUGAGGGAGAGGUUUUCGGGAGAGGAUCUUGAAGUGAGAAGAUCAAAAGAAAGGCGGCUAUAGCUACUACAACUCUCGCUGCUCAUUGAACUGUUAGUAGAAUUAGUAGUCCUGAAAAUGAGAUCACCGUCAGAGGAGGCGCAGUGACCGCACUCUAACAUUUUAAAAAUAAAAAAUCCAGUUGUGUGGCCCUCCUUUUUCUCUCCCACUCUUGUUGGCAAGAGCCAAAAAUAUAUCGAGUGGAGAGAGAGAGAACAAGAACAACGAACUAAAAGUGUCAAAAAGGCAAGAAAGAAGUGGAAUCUGACAAAAUUCUUGAUCGUUACUGUUUCUAUGGUUGGAGUCAAUAAACUUGAUCAGCUCCUGUGAUCGAAUCAGAUACUCCAACGAAAAAAAGAAAAAGAAAAACCAAGACUGCAAGCUGAAACACCCAGAAGAAGAAGCAGCAGCAGCAUCAAUGGCGACGGAAGAAGGAGAGCCAAAUAAAGGAGACGGGCUUUGAAUAUAGCAGGCUUUUUUAGGGUUUCUGAGGAAGAUAGAGUCCGUACUUAAGCUAUAGCUAGAGAGAGAGAGAGAGAUUGAUCUGCUAUCUUUUUUUUUUUUCGGUUUGGUUG